AGCCCAUUAGCUCAGUUGGUUGGUCGUUGUGCUAAUAACGUGACGGUGGCGGGUUCGAUCCCCUCAAGUGCCU